GUGAGGAAUUUUCCGCAAUGGGCGAAAGCCUGACGGAGCAAUGCCGCGUGAAGGAUGAAGGCCUAUGGGUUGUAAACUUCUUUUCUCAGAAAAGAAUUAUGACGGUAUCUGAGGAAUAAACAUCGGCUAACUCUGUGCCAGCAGCCGCGGUAAGACAGAGGAUGCAAGCGUUAUCCGGAAUGAUUGGGCGUAAAGCGUCUGUAGGUUGUUUAAAAAGUAUUCUGUCAAAGAUUAGGGCUUAACCCUAGAUAGGCAGAAUAAACUUUUAAGCUAGAGUGUGGUAGAGGCAGAGGGAAUUCCCGGUGGAGCGGUGAAAUGCGUAGAUAUCGGGAGGAACACCAAAGGCGAAGGCACUCUGCUGGGCCAAUACUAACACUGAGAGACGAAAGCGAGGGGAGCAAAUGGGAUUAGAUACCCUUGUAGUCC
rnacentral:rRNA from 1 species